AUUGAACGCUGGCGGCAGGCCUAACACAUGCAAGUCGAGCGGAUGAAGGGAGCUUGCUCCUGGAUUCAGCGUCGGACGGGUGAGUAAUGCCUAGGAAUCUGCCUGGUAGUGGGGUAUAACGUCCGGAAACGGGCGCUAAUACCGCAUACGUCCUGAGGGAGAUAGUUGGGGAUCUUCGGACCUCACGCUAUCAGAUGAGCCUAGGUCGGAUUAGCUAGUUGGUGGGGUAAAGGCCUACCAAGGCGACGAUCCGUAACUGGUCUGAGAGGAUGAUCAGUCACACUGGAACUGAGACACGGUCCAGACUCCUACGGGAGGCAGCAGUGGGGAAUAGUGGACAAUGGGCGAAAGCCUGAUCCAGUCAUGCCGAGUGUGUGAAGAAGGUCUUCGGAUUGUAAAGCACUUUAAGUUGGGAGGAAGGGCAGUAAGUUAAUACCUUGCUGUUUUGACGUUACCAACAGAAUAAGCACCGGCUAACUUCGUG
rnacentral:rRNA from 1 species